UCAUGGCGUCGCAAGAUGACA
rnacentral:misc_RNA from 1 species